rnacentral:tRNA from 1 species
GCGUCGGUUGAGCAACUGGCUGGCUCGCGUGGUUGUAGCCCACGUUCCUUCGGGACCUGGGGGUUCGAAUCCCUCCCGGCGCA